ACAAAGCGAACGGUAGAGCUGUUGAAAGGAAAAGCUAGCUCGUGCUUUCGGCGGUUUUGGAAGAGUUUUUUCAACUCGUCAAUGCGCUACAAAGCUUUGGUUAAGCUGAUGCUCUUGAGAACGGAACUUCAAUAUGUUAUUAUAGUAUUUCAGGCUAAUUUUAAUUUUUGAAACUUUCGUAAAAAAUGUAUACAUAUAUUGGGCUAACUUGUCGAGUCGUUUAUGUGAAUUACGUAUGCUUUCAGCAAAUCUAAAUGCCGAGCAAGUGUAGCGCACGUCGACAUAUUCACUUGUUAGGAGCGGGGCAAUAAACUUUUGUGUGGGCGCAUUUAAGAGAAGUCGGUAUUCGUGAACUUGAAAGCAUAUGUAAUAAGAGCUGAGCUGGGCUAAGCAAAGAGCAACGCCAGCAUAUACAUGUGCUUUGGAUAGCUUAUAAGCUCUACAAGCUUGCCACAUGCUUUAAAGCUCAGCACAGUGUCGAAAACGCUUACAUAUCAAAUUAAAACUUUUGAUAAAAGCUUUAAAAGUUUUAAAUGGUUUGAAUGCAGUCUAAAAUGCUCAAGUUUAAACUUUAAAAGUAUUUAACAAAUACGAAGACAACUAUAAUUUUAA